rnacentral:rRNA from 1 species
AUGGCGGUUCCCACGCCGCAGCGCCGUCUCCUGGCGGCCGCCAUGGCCCUGCUCCUCGUGCUCGCCUCGUCCGGCGCGGUGGCGCGCGCGGGGAUGAGCGGGCCGAUCAAGACGGUGGUGGUGGUGGUGAUGGAGAACCGGUCGUUCGACCACAUGCUGGGGUGGAUGAAGCGGCUGAACCCGGCGAUCGACGGCGUGACGGGCGCCGAGUGGAACCCGGCCAACGCGUCGGACCCGUCGGCGGGGCCGCGGGUCUACUUCGGCGACGGCGCGCAGUUCGUGGACCCGGACCCGGGGCACUCGUACCAGGAGAUCCGGCAGCAGAUCUUCGGCUCCGACGACGCCACGGGACCGCCGCGGAUGAACGGGUUCGUGCAGCAGGCGCGGUCCAUCGGCGGGGGGAACAUGACGGACGCCGUGAUGAACGGGUUCGCGCCCGACAGCGUGGCCGUGUACCGGGAGCUGGUGGCGCAGUUCGCGGUGUGCGACCGGUGGUUCGCGUCCGUGCCGUCGUCCACCCAGCCCAACCGCCUCUUCGUCCACUCCGGCACCUCCGGCGGCGCCACCAGCAACAACCCAGAGUUGCUGGCCAAGGGGUACCCGCAGAGGACCAUCUUCGACAACGUGCACGACGCGGGCCUCUCCUUCGGCAUCUACUUCCAGGACGUGCCGGCGGUGCUCUUCUACCGCAACCUCCGCAAGCUCAAGUACAUCCUCAACUUCCACCCCUUCCACAACGCGUUCCGUGACCACGCUAGCCGCGGCUCCCUGCCCAACUACGCCGUCAUCGAGCAGCACUACAUGGACUCCAAGGACCACCCUGCCAACGACGAUCACCCUUCGCACGACGUCUACCAGGGCCAGAUGUUCGUCAAGGAGAUCUACGAGACGCUCCGCGCCAGCCCCCAGUGGAACGAGACGCUCAUGGUCCUCACCUACGACGAGCAUGGCGGGUUCUUUGACCAUGUGCCCACCCCUGUCGAUGGUGUGCCGAGCCCCGACGACAUCGUCGGCCCGCCCCCAUACAACUUCACGUUCAACAGGUUGGGAGUGCGUGUCCCGGCCAUCUUGAUCUCUCCAUGGAUUGAGAAGGGAACAGUUAUGCAUGGGCCGAAUGGAAGCCCAACCCCGACGUCACAAUUCGAGCAUUCUUCGAUCCCCGCAACCGUGAAGAAACUGUUCAAUCUGCCACAGGAUUUCCUGACCAAAAGGGACGCAUGGGCUGGGACCUUCGAAGGCGUCGUGCAAACCAGAACUGAACCGAGGACAGAUUGUCCAGAGCAACUCCCGACGCCGACGAGGAUCCGGCAGACGGAGGCGAACGAGGAGGCGAAGCUGAGCUCGUUCCAGCAGGAGAUCGUGCAGCUGGCGGCGGUGCUGAACGGCGACCACCAGCUAAGCAGCCUGCAGGAGAGGAUCAGGGAGAGGAUGAACGUGAGGGAAGGCACCUCCUACAUGAGGAGCGCCGUGCGGCGCUUCUUCGAGGCUGGCAUGUCUGCCAAGAGGAUGGGCCUCGCCGACGACGAGCAGAUCGUCAAGAUGAGGCCCUCCCUUACCACCAGAAUGACCUCCUCCCCUGCAGAUCAAGAUGAUAGUCCGUAG